rnacentral:rRNA from 1 species
GACGAACGCUGGCGGCGUGCUUAACACAUGCAAGUCGAACGCUGAAACCAGAUGCUUGCAUUUGGUGGAUGAGUGGCGAACGGGUGAGUAACACGUGGGUGAUCUGCCCUACACUUUGGGAUAAGCCUGGGAAACUGGGUCUAAUACCGAAUAUUCACACCACCGUAGGGGUGGUGUGGAAAGCCUUGUGCGGUGUGGGAUGAGCCUGCGGCCUAUCAGCUUGUUGGUGGGGUAAUGGCCUACCAAGGCGUCGACGGGUAGCCGGCCUGAGAGGGUGUACGGCCACAUUGGGACUGAGACACGGCCCAGACUCCUACGGGAGGCAGCAGUGGGGAAUAUUGCACAAUGGGCGCAAGCCUGAUGCAGCGACGCCGCGUGGGGGAUGACGGCCUUCGGGUUGUAAACUCCUUUCGCUAGGGGCGAAGCCUAUGGUGACGGUACCUGGAGAAGAAGCACCGGCUAACUACGUGCCAGCCGCCGCGGUAAUAC